UUCUUGUUUUCGAGAGCACCAGCUUCCAACAGAGGGCGAGCAGCAAUCAGUGCGUGUGGAGAGUGGAGACGGAUAACGGUACCUAGAGGAGAACAGGGAUGUACAGCAAACACAGGCAGAAAAAGAUCCAGUUUAUAUUAACAGAAUGUGGACAUUCGCUUAUAUUUCUGUUUCUUUUACUGCUGAACAACGUACUGGAAAUUGAGAGCGGAGACAGCACAGAACAAGCAGGGAAGCCACAUGGACAGACUGUGGUUCCGCAUUGGCUCUCCCAAAGCCGGACCAGACGAGAGGCCGGGAUUCCAGAGCAGGUCCAGUACCCUGAUACGGGGGCGAUAGCAGUGACAGCAGAAGGGAGGGAGCUGGUGCUGCACGUGGAGCGUAAUCAUGAGCUGCUGGGCCCGGACUUCACAGAGACGCACUACAGUGAGGCCGGGGACCAGGUGACCAUCUCGGCCAAUCAAACGGACCACUGUUUCUACCAUGGCUACGUGAGAGGGCACCCAGAUUCCUGGGUCGUUCUCAGCACCUGCUCCGGGGUCCGGGGCCUGAUAGUCUUGAAUGAGAAUGACAGCUACUACCUUGAACCAAUUAGAGGGCUGGACUCUCCCCAUCACAUGAUCUACCGCACAGAGCAUCUGCCAAUCAGAGGGGGAGCAUGUGGACACGGCCACUGGGUGGGACACACAAGCCUUGUCUCCAGCCUUCUUAAACCUUUGCAUCAAAGGGUAAGGCGAAAUGCCUGGGGCACCACCAAGUACAUGGAGCUCUACAUUGUUGCCGACAGUAUGCUGUACAGAAGACAAAACAGUGACCUUGGCAAAACGAAACAGAGGAUCAUGGAGAUCGCCAAUUACGUGGAUAAGUUCUACAGGGCCCUGAACAUCCGCGUGCCGCUGAUCGGGCUGGAGGUGUGGACGGACCGGGACCAGUGCAUCGUGAGCGAGGAGCCCAACGCCACCCUCUGGUCCUUCCUGCAGUGGAGGCAGAAGCUGAAGUCUCGCAAGCGGCACGACAACGCCCAGCUCCUAACGGGCGUGAUAUUCAAAGGGACCACCAUCGGCAUGGCGCCCCUGGAAGGCAUGUGCAGCCACGAGAACUCGGGGGGCAUCAACGUGGACCACUCAGACUUGCCCAUCGGGGCGGCGGCCACCAUGGCCCACGAGAUCGGCCACAACUUCGGCAUGAGCCACGACAACGAGGGCUGCUGCGUGGAGGCCACGCCCGAGCAGGGCGGCUGCGUUAUGGCCGCCGCCACCGGGCACCCGUUCCCACGAGUCUUCAGCCGCUGCAGCAAGAGGGACCUGGACAACUAUUUCCAGAAGGGAGGGGGCAUGUGCCUCUUCAACAUGCCCAACAUGAAGGACCUGGUGGGGGGCAAGCGCUGCGGGAACGGUUUCGUGGAGGAGGGGGAGGAGUGCGACUGCGGAGAGCCGGAGGAGUGCACCAACGACUGCUGCAACGCCAACAACUGCACUCUGAAGGAGGAGGCGCAGUGCGCUCACGGGGUCUGCUGCGAGGGAUGCAAGCUGAAGCAGGCCGGGACUAUGUGUCGAGGGCCGGCAGGGGCAUGUGACCUGCCUGAGUACUGCACCGGCGCCUCCCCCUACUGCCCCUCCAACGUCUACCUGCUGGACGGCUCCUCCUGCCACAGCGGCCACGCCUACUGCUACAACGGCAUGUGCCUGACGCACGAGCAGCAGUGCGUGCAGCUGUGGGGAUACGGUGCCCGCCCCGCUCACGACGCCUGCUUCCAGGACGUGAACGCCGCCGGGAACGCCUUUGGCAACUGCGGCAAGGACGGACAGGGGAACUACAUGAAGUGUGAAAAGAGCGAUGCCAAGUGCGGGAAGAUCCAGUGCCACAGCGCUGCCAAGAAGCCCAAGGGCACCAACGCCGUGUCCAUCGACACCACCAUCCGCACCGACGGCAUGGAGCUCAAGUGCCGGGGCACCUACGUCUACGCCACCCAGGACGGGCAGGGCGACCUCCCGGACCCGGGCCUCGUCACGACCGGGACCAAGUGCGGGGAGGGGAAGGUGUGUCAGGAUCGCCGCUGCCAGAACGCAUCGUUCACCGAGCUGGAGGGCUGCAUCAACCGCUGCCAUGGCAACGGGGUGUGCAACAGCAAUCGGAACUGCCACUGUCACCGCGGAUGGGCCCCGCCCUUCUGUGAGAAGCCAGGGCUGGGAGGCAGUGUGGACAGUGGGCCCAUUCAGUACGACAGUCAGCUGGGCUUGGUGGUCGGGCUGCUCUUUGCAUUCCUGGUGCUGCUGCCCGCCGUUCUUAUUGUGUUCUACUGCUACAAGAUCAAGACCUCCCUCUACCACAAAUGGAUUUCGCAGAGGGAGAAGAACAACCAGGAGAACAGGAACGAUGUGACAGAUCACAAGGUGAAAAAUGGACAUCUGAACCCAGCUUUUCAUCUGAAAGUUGUGGGGCCAUCAUCCAAGAACAGCAACACAAAGAAGCUUCCACACACAAGCAAAGAGGUCCUACCGCUGAGACCGAACCCUAUCCCCAACUGCAACCAGCCCGUCAACAUUGUCCGGCCCCUGCGUCCCGCGCCCUCGCCCCACCGCGGUCCGCGGGACCAGCCCCUGCCGGUGGGCAAGCCCCCCCCCGUUCCUCCGAAAUCUCCAGCAGUCUUGCCCAAACUCACCCCGCCGAAGAAGCCCCUGCCCCUCAGCCCGACCAGAUGCCCUUUGCUAGUGUCUGAACUUCAGUCAAGACCCUCCCCCUCCCCACCUCAAAGACCCCUGCCCCUCAACCCCUCCCCUUGCCGGGUAGUUCUGCCCAAGCCUCCCAUAUGCCAGCUGGGGACCACGCCCUCUGCUCUCAGCCCCAAGCCAACGGGCAAGGUGUCCAGCAUUCCUCCAGUCAAAACGUUCAAGUACGUCACCUGACUCUUCAGCACAACAGUGUGGGUGGACUCUGAAACGCCUGGAAAUCGUGAUAUGAGAAGAAAACCUGUUCCACCUCAGAAGCCUGUCCCAGGGGCCAAACCGAACCCAGCCUUGUCUCCACUACGAAAAUGACCCUCGGAGACGGUGAAACUGACAGGAGUUCGGCAAACUUAUUUGCACUAAAGAGCACACUGCUGGAAGCCUUGCACAGUUUGCGGUUUUGUCCAGCAGGGGGGGGCCAGUCCAGUCCAGAUCUGGGCUGGGUGGGGAAGUGUAAGAGGUACCCCACAGGGUGCACCAGUUCCCUUCCUACGCGACGCACGUGUGCUCAAAGACGACCACGCCCAGCCUGCAAAACGACACGACGCUGCGUUCUGGGAACAGCGUAAUGAGACUGUCAGCCACAGCAAUGGAGCUUAGAUGGGCAGGAGUCACACUGAAUCAAGUAGCUCAACUGGUCUGUGCAUCACAUCGAUACCUGUGUCAUUUUUUUUUUUAUUGCUGUCAGUCUGUUUGUUUUUAAAUGUCUGUGUAAUUUUCCAAAGAUGUAAUUGCGUGUGUUUUUUUUUCCCUUUUUUGUGGGUGGGGCUUGAUUAAUUGCUGCAUUAGGGGUUUUUAAAUGUUACAUAGAAUCCAUGUGCUUUAGCCAUUUAAUCUUAUGUUUGCACAUCUUUGAACGCAGAGCUUGUUAAAUCCGGUGAAGUACACUGAUUCGUGUUUGCAUGGGAGAAAAAUGAAGGGUUUACAAAUGUGGGAUGAAUUUGUUUUCCUUUUCCACAUUACACACCCAGAUUUAUAUAUUAUGACAUCAAAACAGUGUUCGGAACAUGCCUUGUUCUAAUCAUCCCACGUCUAGGAUGAAUGGACUUGAAUUCAGCAGUGUGUAUUUUUUUUCCUGAAGUGCACUGCUCCGUCUAUCUUGAUUUCACACAACUACUACUAAACUGGGCACAGUUAACCUUUAAUCUGACGUUACACAGCUUGCUAAUGCAAUAUAAACUGGCACGAGAAAGGAGCUCUACCUCGGUAAAUUAAAAUCUGUUUUUUCUAAUUUUACACCCCUUAAAGGUGGUGCAUUACACAUGAGGUUUGUUAUAGUAACGUAAAUGAAAAUGGAGGGUUUCUUGUCUGCUGAUCAGGCUUCUGAAAGCGGUCUUUCCCGUACAUAGCCUCUCUGCAGUGGAAGUAAUUGCCAAUAAUGUUUCUGCAGUGGCAGAGUCCUGUUAGUGUGUGUUCAGUUUUCUGAGAAUUGGGCUUUUUACCAAGAAUCCCUGUACUACCACUUAAUUUUAACAUUUGCAUGUCAUUAAGGCGAUUCAUGAAGUGAAAAUGCACAAAGAAACAGAAUAACGCGUGCUUCUCUGUGGCCACUGGGGAUAUUGCCACUAUUUCUUCAUUCAGUGGGAAAAUGUAAAGUUUUGCUUGUAAAAAUCUGUAAAUGCCGUUAAUCGAUAGUAGCACACUUUCUAAUUUUUGAUUAAAAUGCUUCAGAAUACC